UACGAAGGGGGCUAGCGUUGCUCGGAAUGACUGGGCGUAAAGCGCACGUAGGCGGAUCGUUAAGUCAGGGGUGAAAUCCUGGGGCUCAACCCCAGAACUGCCUUUGAUACUGGCGAUCUCGAGUCCGGAAGAGGUGAGUGGAACUCCUAGUGUAGAGGUGGAAUUCGUAGAUAUUAGGAAGAACACCAGUGGCGAAGGCGGCUCACUGGUCCGGUACUGACGCUGAGGUGCGAAAGCGUGGGGAGCAAACAGG
rnacentral:rRNA from 1 species